CCGAAAGGGGCAGUAAUACUGAAUAAUCAUAAAGCGAUAGUUUUAUGAUCAAAGAUUCAUCGGCACAUGAGCGGCCUAUCUCCUAUCAGCUUGUUGGUGAGGUAAAGGCUCACCAAGGCGUAGACGGGUAGCGGGACUGAGAGGUUGGCCCGCAACAUCGGGACUGAGACACUGCCCGGACCUCCACGGAGGGCUGCAGUAACGAAUAUUGCGCAAUGAGCGAAAGCUUGACGCAGCGACGCCGCGUGUAGGAUGAAGUCUCUCGGGAUGUAAACUACUGUCAGGGGGAAGAAAGUGCGCCUCGGCGCAUUGAUCUACCCCAGAGGAAGUCACGGCUAACUUCGUGCCAGCAGCCGCGGUAAGACGAAGGUGGCUAGCGUUGUUCGGUGUCACUGGGCUUAAAGAGUAUGUAGGCGGAAUAGUAAGCGUUUUGUGAAAUCCCUCGGCUUAACCGAGGAAUUGCUUGGCGAACUACUAUUCUUGAGGCAAGUAGGGGUGCAUGGAACUCUUGGUGGAGCGGUGGAAUGCGUAGAUAUCAAGAGGAACGCCAAUGGAGAAAUCAGUGCACUGGGCUUGUCCUGACGCUGAGAUACGAAAGCGUGGGUAGCGAACGGGAUUAGAUACCCCGGUAGUCCACGCCGUAAACGAUGUCUACUAGGUUGCGGGUGUUCUGACACAGUCGCGGCCGAAGCAAAAGUGUUAAGUAGACCGCCUGGGGAGUACGGUCGCAAGGCUAAAACUCAAAGGAAUUGACGGGGGCUCACACAAGCGGUGGAGCAUGUGGAUUAAUUCGAAACAACGCGCAGAACCUUACCUGGGUUUGACAUGUUUGGAUGCUAUUCUGGAAACAGAGGAUGCUGCCUUCGGGUGAAACUUGCACAGGUGCUGCAUGGCUGUCGUCAGCUCGUGUCGUGAGAUGUCGGGUUAAGUCCUUUAACGAGCGAAACCCUUACCGUUAGUUACCAGCGGGUCAUGCCGGGAACUCUAGCGGGACUGCCGGUGUUAAACCGGAGGAAGGUGGGGACGACGUCAAGUCAUCAUGGCCUUUAUGCCCAGGGCUUCACACGUGCUACAAUGGCGGCGACAGAGCGAUGCAAAACCGCGAGGUCGAGCAAAUCGCAAAAACGUCGCCUCAGUUCGGAUUGUAGGCUGUCAACUCGCCUGCAUGAAGUUGGAAUCGCUAGUAAUCGCGUAUCAGCUAUGACGCGGUGAAUGUGUUCCUGAGCCUU
rnacentral:rRNA from 1 species